UACUUUCAAUAUGGGACACAAGUUGCAAUGGGAUCAUAACAUUGCACGAUGCUCCAUAGCCCCAGUGCCCAUGUAGGCUAGCUUUGCGCUUACCUAGCCCCAGGCAAACAUUGCUAUUCCGACGUCGUCACUGUGUUGCACGAUUGCAACUAGGAUGCAUAGUGGACGGCUCUGAUACCAUCAAUAGAAACUUAAAAGAACUACAACCCAAAAGCUAGCUCUUGAGGUUGGAGAACUCAAGUCCAUAUAUGCCCCAUAUUG
rnacentral:misc_RNA from 1 species